CGAUAGCGUAUAUUAAAGUUGUUGCAGUUAAAAAGCUCGUAGUUGGAUUUGUGGUGUACGCCGGCGGCCCGUCGCAAGACGGAGCUUGCUUGCGUCGCCAUCCUUGGGUGGAUCCUGUGUGGCAUUCAGUUGUCGUGCAGGGGAUGCCCAUCGUUUACUGUGAAAAAAUUAGAGUGUUCAAAGCAGGCUUAUGCCGUUGAAUAUAUUAGCAUGGAAUAAUAAGAUAGGACCUUGGUACUAUUUUGUUGGUUUGCGCACCAAGGUAAUGAUUAAUAGGGACAGUUGGGGGUAUUCGUAUUCCAUUGUCAGAGGUGAAAUUCUUGGAUUUUUGGAAGACGAACUACUGCGAAAGCAUUUACCAAGGAUGUUUUCAUUAA
rnacentral:rRNA from 1 species